rnacentral:misc_RNA from 1 species
AACUUUUAGCAACGGAUCACUUGGCUCUCCCAUCGAUGAAGAACGCAGCGAACUGCGAUACGUAAUGUGAAUUGCAGAAUUCAGUGAAUCAUCGAAUCUUUGAACGCACCUUGCGCCGCUCGGUUUUCCGAGAGGCACGUCUGUUUGAGUGUCACGUUAACAUCUCACUUCCCUUCGGGUGAAGUGGACUUGGACCGUGCUGUACGCUCGUUCGUACGGCUCGUCCCGAAAUGCAUUGCUUGCCUGCGGAGUCUUGCGCGGAGCUGGACUGACGAAACGGUGUGAUAUUUUAACUAUCUGCGCUGUAGUAGUCGGACCGUUGCCUGCUGCACCAGGAGCGCUCUGGGCUUAUAAUGACGAGGGUGAGGCCGCGAGGCCUGUGCCCCCAAUUCUUACAAUGUGUUUGACCUCAAAUCAGACGGGACUACCCGCUGAAUUUAAGCAUAUCAAUAAGCGGAGGCU